rnacentral:rRNA from 1 species
AGUGAACGCUGGCGGUAGGCCUAACACAUGCAAGUCGAACGGCAGCACAGUAAGAGCUUGCUCUUACGGGUGGCGAGUGGCGGACGGGUGAGGAAUACAUCGGAAUCUACUUUUUCGUGGGGGAUAACGUAGGGAAACUUACGCUAAUACCGCAUACGACCUACGGGUGAAAGCAGGGGAUCUUCGGACCUUGCGCGAUUGAAUGAGCCGAUGUCGGAUUAGCUAGUUGGCGGGGUAAAGGCCCACUAAGGCGACGAUCCGUAGCUGGUCUGAGAGGAUGAUCAGCCACACUGGAACUGAGACACGGUCCAGACUCCUACGGGAGGGAGCAGUGGGGAAUAUUGGACAAUGGGCGCAAGCCUGAUCCAGCCAUACCGCGUGGGUGAAGAAGGCCUUCGGGUUGUAAAGCCCUUUUGUUGGGAAAGAAAAGCAGCAGGUUAAUACCCCGCUGUUCUGACGGUACCCAAAGAAUAAGCACCGGCUAACUUCGUG